rnacentral:rRNA from 1 species
UACAGAGGGGGCAAGCGUUGUUCGGAAUUACUGGGCGUAAAGGGCGCGUAGGCGGCCUUCUAAGUCGAACGUGAAAUCCCCGGGCUCAACCCGGGAACUGCGUCCGAUACUGGAAGGCUUGAAUCCGGGAGAGGGAUGCGGAAUUCCAGGUGUAGCGGUGAAAUGCGUAGAUAUCAGGAGGAACACCGAUGGCGAAGGCGGCGUUCUGGACUGCAACUGACACUGAGGAACGAAAGCCAGGGGAGCAAACGGG